GAUGAACGCUAGCGGCAGGCCUAACACAUGCAAGUCGAGGGAGAAGCCCUUCGGGGCAGAAACCGGCGCACGGGUGCGUAACGCGUAUGCAACCUACCUUUCACAGGGGGAUAGCCCGAAGAAAUUUGGAUUAAUACCCCAUAAUAUUAUUGGAUGGCAUCAUUUGAUAAUUAAAAUUACGAUGGUGAAAGAUGGGCAUGCGUCCUAUUAGCUAGUUGGAGUGGUAACGGCACCCCAAGGCUACGAUAGGUAGGGGUCCUGAGAGGGAGAUCCCCCACACUGGUACUGAGACAGGGACCAGACUCCUACGGGAGGCAGCAGUGAGGAAUAUUGGUCAAUGGUCGGAAGACUGAACCAGCCAUGCCGCGUGCAGGAAGAAUGCCUUAUGGGUUGUAAACUGCUUUUAUAUGGGAAGAAUAAGGAGUACGUGUACUUUGAUGACGGUACCAUAUGAAUAAGCAUCC
rnacentral:rRNA from 1 species